GACAGAGGGUGCAACCGUUGUUCGGAAUUACUGGGCGUAAAGGGCGCGUAGGCGGAUAGUUCAGUUGGGGGUGAAAGCCCGGGGCUCAACCUCGGAACUGCCUUCAAUACUGGCUAUCUUGAGUACGGGAGAGGUGUGUGGAACUCCGAGUGUAGAGGUGAAAUUCGUAGAUAUUCGGAAGAACACCAGUGGCGAAGGCGACACACUGGCCCGUUACUGACGCUGAGGCGCGAAAGCGUGGGGAGCAAACAGG
rnacentral:rRNA from 1 species